GCUGGAGCCAAUUUAUUAUCACCACGUCAGCACAGAACAUUGAGUGUAACUGAUAAUACUCUACAUGGGACUGCCUUGGGUGGCCACCUCCUGUAUGCCCAUAGGAAACACUGCAGUUUGGAGAAGCCCACUGAGCUUUCCUCGCGCAACCCUCUCCGUCAUUCUGCAGGAGGUUUGGAGUUUUGGAGCUUAAAUGUGAUUUUUAGCGUGGCUUCUUCAAGAACACUCUUUAAAGAUGGCAUCGAAUCCAUUCGUUAACUGAUCAAGAAUGUCAUUCUCCCUUCUUGCACCCCCAGUCCGGAAUGCUGAUGCCAGCUCUGCCAUGGCUGCUGCCAGCUGUGAGGACUCAAAGCCACACAAAGCAAUGGAAACACGUGGCUGGGGCACACGGGAUGGCACUGCUGGCACAGAGGGUCUCCUCGCCGCCGUGCCCCUCACCAGUUCUUUUUGCUUUCCAGCACGCCUCCUGCAUGCUUCCAGCCAAGGAGCAGCGGUGGCAUUGCUGGGGUUGGCUGCUCCCGCUGAGCGCUGAGCUCCUCGUGCAGCGUGGUGCAGAACAGCCAGCAGGUGCCCCAGGCUGUCAUCCUUUGCUGUAGCAGCAGAGGUUACUCCUGGCCUGGAUGGGGCCGUCCCGGACACUGUAAGAGAAUCAAAUGGCUUUUACAUUGUGCAAACGCUGUGCGUGUUUGCUUUGCUCACCCCCCAGCCAACACCACAGGUAACAAACUGCAGUACAAAUGCACUUCUGCUACAAUUACUGCCCUCUCCAUAUCUGUAGGAGACAGCUGGUGCUGCCAUGCUAGGCGGUGCGCUCCCCGGAACGGAUGAAUAAUCAAAGACACGCAAAGGGAAGCACACCCAAGGCAACACCGAUCGUACAGCGACUGCUCGACCCCAACCCCUUCACGUCACCUCCUAACGCUGCGUGUUCCAACCGCGGCAGAUCACAGCACGGUUUGGGAUGAAAGGGGCCUCUAUGAGCGCCCAGCUCCAACCCCCUGCUGCAGGCAGGGACAGCCCCCGCCACACCAGGCUGCCCGCAGCCCCAUCCAGCCCGAACGCCUACACGGAGAGGCAUCCACGACCUCUGCCUGCACCUCACUGUGAAGCCUUUCCUGCCGAUCUCUGCUCUAAAGCGACCCUCUUUCCGUUCGAAGCCGUUUCCCCUCAUGCUGCCGCUAUCCGCCCUUAUGAGGAGCCCCUCCCCAGCCGUCCUGCAGGAACCACGACCCAGUAACGGAGCCGCAAACAAAACCAAGAGCUCCGCCAGCAGACGCUACCCCCGCCUAACAGCGCCGGGCCGCGGAACACCGCCACGGCCCACGCAAAACGGCCCUUCCUCAGCACGGCCGGGCUGCCCCUCACCGCCGGGCGGCAGCAGCGGCAGCAGCAGCAGCACCC
ensembl:lncRNA